UGAACAUGAUUUAGUGUGGUGAAUGUAAACUCAGCUGAUUUCGAACAGGUAAGAUGUAUUCCAAAGAAUUUAACAUAAAUACAGGAAAUGUGUGCAAUAGAAGUAGACUUGUGCAGACAUUCACUGACCCCAUGACAGAAGUGUACCUGCUGUUCUUCCAAGCCACCGUACCAACUUUCACUUCUUUCAACUUGCUGCUUCAGAGAGAGCAGUCAUCAAUAUUUUUGUUACAUGAUGAGAUGGUGAAAUUCGUACGCAAGCUAUGUUCCAAGUUUAUGGUUCCAGCAGCUCUGCAGUGCCAUGAGGAGCCUUGUGAAAUUGCCUUUAAAGAAAAGGCAAACCAUUUACCAGGAAGAAAGUUGAACAUUAGGUUCACAACCAGGGCUAAACUUAACAGAUUACUCGAC